rnacentral:ncRNA from 1 species
GAAAAAGCGUUGACGGGAAGCAUUGUUUGCUAGUUGUGAUCAGAGAGUUGCUGGUUGGUGAGAAGCAAUUCACGUUAGUAGACAAUUAUCAUCUCCGAGCUGUUUAGCCAAACGUUAUAGUAGGCUGAAUUGGGAACACCCAUUAUUGUGUCAGCGUAUCGCAUUUUGCCGUACGUGUGAGGUAGUCUUAGUGAUAGGGCUAUAAAAUAAGGUGGUACCGCGUGAAAGCGUCCUUUAA